UACAGAGGGUGCGAGCGUUGUCCGGAAUCACUGGGCGUAAAGGGCGCGUAGGUGGUGGCUUAAGCGUGCGGUGAAAGCUCGGGGCUCAACUCCGAGUCGGCCGUGCGAACUGGGCUCACUGGAGCAUAGUAGAGGCAGGUGGAAUUCCGGGUGUAGCGGUGGAAUGCGUAGAGAUCCGGAAGAACACCGGUGGCGAAGGCGGCCUGCUGGGCUAUGGCUGACACUGAGGCGCGACGGCGUGGGGAGCAAACAGG
rnacentral:rRNA from 1 species